GUACUGAUGAAGAGUCCCAGACACUGGGACGAAACAGCUGUCCAGUAC
rnacentral:hammerhead_ribozyme from 1 species